rnacentral:rRNA from 1 species
GGAAAAGAAACUAACAAGGAUUCCCCUAGUAACGGCGAGUGAAGCGGGAAGAGCUCAAAUUUGAAAUCUGGUAGCCUUCGGUUGCCCGAGUUGUAAUCUAGAGAAGUGUUUUCCGUGCCGGCCCAUGUACAAGUCCCUUGGAACAGGGCGUCAUAGAGGGUGAGAAUCCCGUCCUUGACAUGGACCCCCGGUGCUUUGUGAUACACUUUCAACGAGUCGAGUUGUUUGGGAAUGCAGCUCAAAAUGGGUGGUGAAUUCCAUCUAAAGCUAAAUAUUGGCGAGAGACCGAUAGCGAACAAGUACCGUGAGGGAAAGAUGAAAAGCACUUUGGAAAGAGAGUUAAACAGUACGUGAAAUUGUUGAAAGGGAAACGAUUGAAGUCAGUCAUGCUCUUAGGAUUCAGCCGUUCUGCGGUGUAUUUCCUUUGAGUGGGGUCAACAUCAGUUUUGAUCGAUGGAUAAAGGCACGAGGAAGGUAGCACUCUCGGGUGAACUUAUAGCCUCGCGUCAUAUACAUUGAUUGGGACUGAGGAACGCAGCAUGCCUUUAUGGCCGGGAUUCGUCCACGUACAUGCUUAGGAUG